AAGUUUUAGGUAUAGGAUUUUGAGUUUUUGUGUUAUUUCUCGAGUCUUUUUAGUUUCUUUUCAGGUAUUUUAUGCAAUGGGACAACAA
rnacentral:sRNA from 1 species